UUUAUAUCUCUGUCUCCUUCUCUAUUAUCAGUCUCCCUCUUCCUCUUUUUAGUCUCCCGAAGAAGCUCCUACUCCAAGUACGGUCGAUCACACACCCAUUGUAGCUGUAGUAACCGGGCAUAAUCAAUCAAUACGAAGAUUUGUAGUCCACAAAUUGUUUUCUGGAUAUUAAGUGGAGAAGGAUCUGGAAGUGUUUCUUAACCGUUUACAAGCUUGCAUUUCUUAGUUCAACAUAUCAAGACUCAACCUCCAGAUUUGAAGGAGCGCAUAAGUGCUGCACUGGUAAAGGAGACAAAUUAAAAUACAUGCCAGCUAUUGGGAGAUCAUAGAAUCAAUUUUUUUUGAAGCAAAAUCAUAGAAUCAAUGGGUGGUAAAGGAUCCCUCUUGAACAUUCUUUCAAAAUAUUCUUAUGGUAAGCUAGCUUCUUUUGUAUUUGAUUUUUCCAUGUUUUUAUUAUUUUUCUUUUCUUUUGUUGUUUAUGAGUAGAUUUAGUAUUCCAAAAAUUACUUAACAUGGCAAUCAUGAUUUGCGAAAGCACUUCUUUGAGCAUUUAGUUCAAAUUUAAUUUAUGAUUCAUGAAGCUAAUUCCCGCUCUUCUCCUUUUGUGUGAGUUCUUGCUUAUGUUACACUAAGCAAGAUCAUUUACCUACUGAAAUGUAAAGGUAAAUUCACUCAUUUAUAUGAUGUAAAACAGAAGAAAAAAACUAAGAUGUGGCACGCUUGACAAACCCAAUGCUUUUUUCUGUUCACUAUCAAUAGCGCAGCAGUUGCAGGAAACAGUUUAUCAAGAAAUCACAAUUACAUCAUUGAUGGUACAAUAUACUUUAUGAGAUGUAAGACAAUAUCAAUCGAUUAUAAA